UACGAGUGCCCCAAGCGUUAUCCGGAAUCACUGGGCGUAAAGGGUGUGUAGGUGGUGUUAUUAGUCUCUCGUUAAAGCCUUGGGCUCAACCCAAGAAUCGCGAGAGAAACGGUAAUACUAGAGGGUGUGAGAGGUAUACGGAACUCAUAGUGUAGGGGUGAAAUCCGUUGAUAUUAUGAGGAACACCAAAUGCGAAGGCAGUAUACUGGCGCAUUCCUGACACUGAAACACGAAAGCGUGGGUAGCGAAAGGG
rnacentral:misc_RNA from 1 species